rnacentral:rRNA from 1 species
CCUACGGGAGACUGCAGUGGGGAAUAUUGCACAAUGGGGGAAACCCUGAUGCAGCGACGCCGCGUGAGCGAUGAAGGCUUUCGGUAUGUAAAGCUCUAUCAGCAGGGAGGAAGAUGACGGUACCUGACCAAGAAGCGCCGGCUAACUACGUGCCAGCAGCCGCGGUAAUACGGAAGGUCCGGGCGUUAUCCGGAUUUAUUGGGUUUAAAGGGAGCGUAGGCCGGCUUUUAAGUCAGCUGUGAAAGUCCGCGGCUCAACCGUGGAAGUGCAGUUGAAACUGGAGGCCUUGAGUGCACACAGGGAUGCCGGAAUUCAUGGUGUAGCGGUGAAAUGCGUAGAUAUCAUGAAGAACGCCGAUCGCGAAGGCAAGUGUCCGGGGUGCAACUGACGCUGAGGCUCGAAAGUGCGGGUAGCAAACAGGAUUAGAUACCCCUGUAGUC